CUGCCGUGACCCAAGCUUCAGGCGCCGCCCUCUUCUCUUCCAACCCUAUACACAGGUCAGUUCUCUCCGUUUCCCUCCCAAAUUGCGUCGAUUGCAAGCUUUGUUGGUGGCCGGCCUCUAUUUCCCACUCGAUUUCCCGCCGCUCGGUCUUUUCCCGCUCGAUUUCCCGCCGCUCGGUCUGUUCCCGCUCGCCUCCCCUCUUUCCUGCCUGGGGCCUCACGUAUGGCGCCCGCCUCAUCCAAUUGGACGCCCAGGCGACGCCUAUGGACGCCUAGACGACGCCUUCGGCGCAAGGCGGACGCCAUACGCAGUCGGCCAAGGCGAAUCAGACGCCCAGGUUGCCAAUCGCGCCUUGUCGCCUAGGCGACGCCUUAAGAACAGAGCUUGAGAUGGUGAUUUGUCUCCAUGACUGGACAUGUCCCAAAGACAGAAACGGAAUCGCCGUAUCUGCUAUAGAGGGGUACUGUACUGAUGAUGACGAUGAUGAGGAAAAGGAAGAGGAUGACAAAUCGAAGGACGUAGAAGAUUCUGAUGAUAACAAGAACAAUGGUGCUGACUGUGUUGGUGGUGAUUAGACUGUUAGGCUGCAACUGAAACCUCUUAUUUCAUUUACUACAUAGUAGUAUUCAGUUAUUCCUGGUGGGCUACAUGACAUAUCCCGGUAUUUGCUCCUUGAUUGGCAUAAUUUCAUACUCUGAUGUCAGAGAUCUGAAGGUACUCAUUGCCAUGUCAU